rnacentral:rRNA from 1 species
CAGCCCCGUACACAAAAAUGCACAUGCUGUGAGCUCGAUGAGUAGGGCGGGACACGUGGUAUCCUGUCUGAAUAUGGGGGGACCAUCCUCCAAGGCUAAAUACUCCUGACUGACCGAUAGUGAACCAGUACCGUGAGGGAAAGGCGAAAAGAACCCCGGCGAGGGGAGUGAAAAAGAACCUGAAACCGUGUACGUACAAGCAGUGGGAGCACAGAGCAAUCUGUGUGACUGCGUACCUUUUGUAUAAUGGGUCAGCGACUUAUAUUCUGUAGCAAGGUUAACCGAAUAGGGGAGCCGAAGGGAAACCGAGUCUUAACUGGGCGUUAAGUUGCAGGGUAUAGACCCGAAACCCGGUGAUCUAGCCAUGGGCAGGUUGAAGGUUGGGUAACACUAACUGGAGGACCGAACCGACUAAUGUUGAAAAAUUAGCGGAUGACUUGUGGCUGGGGGUGAAAGGCCAAUCAAACCGGGAGAUAGCUGGUUCUCCCCGAAAGCUAUUUAGGUAGCGCCUCGUGAAUUCAUCUCCGGGGGUAGAGCACUGUUUCGGCAAGGGGGUCAUCCCGACUUACCAACCCGAUGCAAACUGCGAAUACCGGAGAAUGUUAUCACGGGAGACACACGGCGGGUGCUAACGUCCGUCGUGAAGAGGGAAACAACCCAGACCGCCAGCUAAGGUCCCAAAGUCAUGGUUAAGUGGGAAACGAUGUGGGAAGGCCCAGACAGCCAGGAUGUUGGCUUAGAAGCAGCCAUCAUUUAAAGAAAGCGUAAUAGCUCACUGGUCGAGUCGGCCUGCGCGGAAGAUGUAACGGGGCUAAACCAUGCACCGAAGCUGCGGCAGCGACGCUUAUGCGUUGUUGGGUAGGGGAGCGUUCUGUAAGCCUGCGAAGGUGUGCUGUGAGGCAUGCUGGAGGUAUCAGAAGUGCGAAUGCUGACAUAAGUAACGAUAAAGCGGGUGAAAAGCCCGCUCGCCGGAAGACCAAGGGUUCCUGUCCAACGUUAAUCGGGGCAGGGUGAGUCGACCCCUAAGGCGAGGCCGAAAGGCGUAGUCGAUGGGAAACAGGUUAAUAUUCCUGUACUUGGUGUUACUGCGAAGGGGGGACGGAGAAGGCUAUGUUGGCCGGGCGACGGUUGUCCCGGUUUAAGCGUGUAGGCUGGUUUUCCAGGCAAAUCCGGAAAAUCAAGGCUGAGGCGUGAUGACGAGGCACUACGGUGCUGAAGCAACAAAUGCCCUGCUUCCAGGAAAAGCCUCUAAGCAUCAGGUAACAUCAAAUCGUACCCCAAACCGACACAGGUGGUCAGGUAGAGAAUACCAAGGCGCUUGAGAGAACUCGGGUGAAGGAACUAGGCAAAAUGGUGCCGUAACUUCGGGAGAAGGCACGCUGAUAUGUAGGUGAAGCGACUUGCUC